UACGAAGGGGGCUAGCGUUGCUCGGAAUCACUGGGCGUAAAGCGCACGUAGGCGGAUCUUUAAGUCAGGGGUGAAAUCCUGGAGCCCAACUCCAGAACUGCCUUUGAUACUGGCGAUCUCGAGUCCGGAAGAGGUGAGUGGAACUCCUAGUGUAGAGGUGGAAUUCGUAGAUAUUGGGGAGGAACACCAGUGGCGAAGGCGGCUCACUGGACCGGUACUGACGCUGAAGCGCGAAAGCGUGGGGAGCAAACGGGG
rnacentral:rRNA from 1 species